rnacentral:lncRNA from 1 species
UAUAAAUAGUAGCAUUAGUAGUAGUAGUAAUAGUAGUAGUGGUAUUAGUAGUAGUACUCAUAAAUAUUCAUGUACUUGAAGGUUCUUAACAUUAACCACAAAUCAAAACUUGAGUUUCUUAAUUGAUCUCUCUUAUUUCUUCAUCUUUUAUUUCAACAAAUUAUUAUAUUCAGCUAGCCUAUCUCUUCAUUGUUUUCUAACAAAAACAAAUCAAGGCUAAU